rnacentral:rRNA from 1 species
CCUACGGGUGGCAGCAGUGAGGAAUAUUGGUCAAUGGACGAGAGUCUGAACCAGCCAAGUAGCGUGAAGGAUGACUGCCCUAUGGGUUGUAAACUUCUUUUAUAUGGGAAUAAAAUGUUCCACGUGUGGGAUUUUGUAUGUACCAUAUGAAUAAGGAUCGGCUAACUCCGUGCCAGCAGCCGCGGUAAUACGGAGGAACCGAGCGUUAUCCGGAUUUAUUGGGUUUAAAGGGAGCGUAGGUGGAUUGUUAAGUCAGUUGUGAAAGUUUGCGGCUCAACCGUAAAAUUGCAGUUGAAACUGGCAGUCUUGAGUACAGUAGAGGUGGGCGGAAUUCGUGGUGUAGCGGUGAAAUGCUUAGAUAUCACGAAGAACUCCGAUUGCGAAGGCAGUUCACUGGACUGCAACUGACACUGAGGCUCGAAAGUGUGGGUAUCAAACAGGAUUAGAUACCCGAGUAGUC